GGUUGGAUCAUUAACAAAUUCAACUUUGUUGAAGGAGUCUUCAAAGCAGUAAAAAGCUUUGAAACUCUUUCUUCAAGCACCCCUUUGUGAACCGUUUAUUGUCUCUGGUGUGGUUAAACGUAGACUCUAGAGCUUGGGGCCUUAAACUUCUUUGCUCUUCGUUUAUGGGGAAACACCUUUUGGUUUUCCUCACCCACUGUUAUAUAUUUAAACUACUAGUCAAUAUUCGUCUAACCAAGUUAUAUUUUUUAAUAAAAAACAACUUUUGACAACGGAUCUCUUGGCUCUCGCAACGAUGAAGAACGCAGCGAAAUGCGAUAAGUAAUGUGAAUUGCAGAAUUCCGUGAAUCAUUAAAUCUUUGAACGCACAUUGCGCUUCCUGGUAUUCCGGGGAGCAUGUCUGUUUGAGAAUCAGUUUAACUCUCAUACACUAAUAGUGUUGUAUUUAACGUACACAUUUGUUAGUGUUAUGGACUUGGGCAAUCUUUGAGUCUUAACCGAUUAUUCAAAGUAACCUUAAAUUGAUUACCUAUUUCCUCUCUAUGAUUUCCGUCUUUUUUACAAAAGUAUAAAUUGCCUUUAGAAUUAUAUUAGACGGAACUGGAAAGCACGAUUAAUGGAACUAUUUUGUUUCUUUUCGACUGCUGAUAAAAGUUCACUAACGUUUAAAUAUCUUUAGGCAAGAAAGGGAAUCCUUCUCAAGUGCAUUUGCGUGCACUGGGUCGAGAAAGCAUGAAGUAGUUUAUCAUUUCAAUACGAGUGGGCGAUUGCGGCAUGCCGUUGUGACCCCAUUUAAGACUUGAUCUCAAAUCAGACAAGACUACCCGCUGAACUUAAGCAUAUCAAUAAGCGGAGGAAAAGAAACUAACAAGGAUUCCCCUAGUAACGGCGAGUGAAGCGGGAUCAGCUCAAAUUUGAAAUCUCACUGAUUUAUUAGUGCGAAUUGUAGUUUAAAGAAGUAUUUUCGGAGGCAAGGCAGGUAAAAGUCCUUUGGAAAAAGGCAUCAUAGAGGGUGAGAAUCCCGUCUUUGAUCUGCAUCUUGUCUUCAUGUGAUAUACCUUCAAAGAGUCGGGUUGUUUGGGAAUGCAGCCCAAAAUGGGUGGUAAAUACCAUCUAAAGCUAAAUAUUGGCGAGAGACCGAUAGCGAACAAGUACCGUGAGGGAAAGAUGAAAAGAACUUUGAAAAGAGAGUUAAAUAGUACGUGAAAUUGUCAAAAGGGAAACGCUUGAAACCAGUUUUGCUGGCAGAAACCCAACUGCUCCAACGAGUAGCAUAUGUUUUUGUUGGCAGGUCAACAUCAGUUUUGACUGGAGUAUAAAGCUCGUGGAAGGUAGCCCCUCGGGGUAUUAUAGCUGCGAGUCAUGCUCUGGUUGGGAUUGAGGUCUGCAGUGUAGUCUUGGGGACCCGUUCGCCAGUUGAAGCUUUGGCCUAGACAACUUGUUGAUUAGGUUAAAGAAUUGAGAUUGCCCGGGCGGUUUACCACACCUAUGCUUAGGAUGUUGACGAAAUGGUUUUAAACGACCCGUCUUGAAACACGGACCAAGGAGUCUAACACCUAUGCGAGUAUUUGGGUUUUUAAGCCCGGAAUGCGUAAUGAAAGUGUUAAGGUGGGAUCUUCGGUGCACCAUCGACCGGUCUUGAUAUUUUUGGAUAGAUCUGAGUAAGAGCAUAUUUGUUAGGACCCGAAAGAUGGUGAACUAUGCCUGAAUAGGGUGAAGCCAGAGGAAACUCUGGUGGAGGCUCGUAGCGAUUCUGACGUGAACGAAAAUAAAACAUUCAUGUUUAUUUGCGCGUCCAAGAGUGACCUGAAAGGGAAGCUAGUAGGGUGCAUGCACAUACAUCCUGCAACACUGUCAAAUUGCGGGGACUUCCUAAAGCUUUGUCUACCAAGUUAGAAUACGAAAGUUUCUAAUGGCCGGGUUAAUUGCCCUGGGUAUGGUAAAAACGACAAUGAUACUACAAUGGAUAAUCCGCAGCGAAGUCCUAAGUGAAGAAUUCAUAAGGUCAGCGUUCAGAGACUAGACGACAGUGGGCACUUUGUAGUGCUUGAGAUAUAGUCCAACUGCCCUUGAAAGGGGGUCGAGUACGCGGUAGAAAGCAACUGGGAACCCGGUUGCGGAGAGACCUGCUCGCGGUAAUUUUACAUUACUGAGAUCAAUUGGCAAAUCGAUCGUCAAAUUUGGGUAUAGGGGCGAAAGACUAAUCGAACCAUCUAGUAGCUGGUUCCCUC
rnacentral:misc_RNA from 1 species